GACGAACGCUGGCGGCGUGCUUAACACAUGCAAGUCGAACGGUAAGGCCCUUCGGGGUACACGAGUGGCGAACGGGUGAGUAACACGUGGGUGAUCUGCCCUGCACUUCGGGAUAAGCCUGGGAAACUGGGUCUAAUACCGGAUAGGACUCCUGGCUUCAUGGUUGGGGGUGGAAAGCUUUUGCGGUGUGGGAUGGGCCCGCGGCCUAUCAGCUUGUUGGUGGGGUAAUGGCCUACCAAGGCGACGACGGGUACCCGGCCUGAGAGAGUGACCGGUGACACUGGGACUGAGAUGCGGCCCAGACUCCUACGGGAGGCAGCAGUGGGGAAUAUUGCACAAUGGGCGCAAGCCUGAUGCAGCGACGCCGCGUGAGGGAUGACGGCCUUCGGGUUGUAAACCUCUUUCAGCUAUGACGAAGCGCAAGUGACGGUAGUAGCAGAAGAAGGACCGGCCAACUACGUGCCAGCCGCCGCCGUAA
rnacentral:rRNA from 1 species